rnacentral:sRNA from 1 species
GUUCUAGCAAAAUCUAGAACCGAGCGUGGAAACUCGAAUAAUUUACUACUGGCGAACACUAGCACGCCUUCAAUUCGUGCUUUUUUU